rnacentral:rRNA from 1 species
AGAAUCCUACGGGGGGCAGCAGUGAGGAAUAUUGGUCAAUGGGCGGGAGCCUGAACCAGCCAAGCCGCGUGAAGGAAGAAGGGGCCAAGCGUCGUAAACUUCUUUUGUCGGGGAACAAAGGGCGCCACGUGUGGCGUUGUGAGGGUACCCGAAGAAAAAGCAUCGGCUAACUCCGUGCCAGCAGCCGCGGUAAUACGGAGGAGGCGAGCGUUAUCCGGAUUUAUUGGGUUUAAAGGGUGCGUAGGCGGUCCGGAAAGUCAGCGGUAAAAGCCCGGGGCUCAACCCCGGCGAGCCGUUGAAACGGG